AAAGUACUCCCUCCGUCCCAAAAUUCUUGUCUUAGAUUUGUCUAGAUACGGAUGUAUCAAGUCACAUUUUAGUAUUAGAUACAUCUGUAUCUAGAAAAAUCUAAGACAAGAAAUUUUGGACAGAGGGAGUAGUUG
rnacentral:pre_miRNA from 1 species